CAAUAGCAUAUAUUAACGUUGUUGCAGUUAAAAAGCUCGUAGUUGGAUCUCUGUAGGAGCGCCAAUGUCCACCCACGUGUGAGUUGCAGCGGCGCUCCUGCAUCCUUCGGUUACCUCCGCUCGGCAUUCACUUGCCGGCGGUUGGCUCCGAAUAUUUACCUUGAGAAAAUUAGAGUGUUUCAGGCAGGCUAAGCCGGAAUACAUUAGCAUGGAAUAAUAGAAUAGGACUACGGUCUCGUUGUUGGUUUGAGGGACUGGAGUAAUGAUUAAUAGGGAUAGUUGGGGGCAUUAGUAUUUAAUUGUCAGAGGUGAAAUUCUCAGAUUAACUAAAGACUAACUUAUGCGAAAGCAUUUGCCAAGGAUGUUUNCAUUA
rnacentral:rRNA from 1 species